rnacentral:lncRNA from 1 species
GCCAUAUUUUUCAUAUUGAAAUUUAUAACCAAACUUUUAUACAAAACAAAAACCACUUCAAAACUAUUCACAUCAAAAAGAGAUCUCAAAAGAAGGUAGACUUUCAGCCCAACCAGGCCAUACUCAAGGCCCCUCUCAGGUUUAUCUUCUUCUUCCAAAAAUCCUUCUCUUUAAGUUUCACCUCCGAAUUCUCCUUCUCAGACUCCUCCUCAUCAGCUCCUCAUCGGGGUCCUGAAAUGUUUUUCCCCAAACUGGGAUGAGACUACGUCUCAGCGAGUUCUACCCCACUAAGCCCGAUUAGUAGAACCACUAUACUAUAGGCUGCCUAUACACGCACANNNNNNNNNNNNNNNNNNNNNNNNNNNNNNNNNNNNNNNNNNNNNNNNNNNNNNNNNNNNNNNNNNNNNNNNNNNNNNNNNNNNNNNNNNNNNNNNNNNNUCACGAUCACUAGCAUAAAUUUCCGGUCACGGGCCAUCCCAGUUGAAUUUUCCGAAAAUAAAUAAUUAAUUAAUUAAUUUCAAAAAUUAAAUAAUUAAUAUUAAAAAUUCAAUUUAGCACAAACUAAAACUCAAUUAAACAAACGGACUUCACCAUGGUCAUCAGCAUAAUUUUCCGGUUCCAGGCCAUCUCAGUUGAAUUUUCAGAAAAUAAAUAAUUAUUUAAUUUAAUUCCGAAAAUUAAUAUUUAAAUGCCCAAAAAUCUCACUUAGGCCCGAAUUGCCAAAUUGGAGCCCACUAAGGGUCGGGAAAAAUCCCGAGGCACUUCCAAUAAUUAGUAGACCACGUCUACUUGUUAAUUGCACAAUCAAUUUAUCUAAAUCACAACACAAUUGACUAAUAAUUGCUAAUUUAUUCUAAUCUAACAACCUAAACACAAUUAAUUAAAACUAAACCAACCUUAAGCAUAAUUAGCCAACUAAUCCAGGAUUAGUGAGAUUACUCACCAAAUCGCGCGCAAAUCGGAUCAAUCCGACGGCGGCGGCGCGAGGAACGAUUGUCCCCAAAGCACGGCUCGGGUUCGGGGCCGGGAAACGGCCCAAAACGGCCCACGAACAGCUGGAUACCCACUCCGUGGGUUUGCUGGUUCAGCCGCAAAACAGCAAGAAAGAGAGAGGGUUGGGGGCGGCAAGAGGUCGAGAGAGCGGGUGGUGGCUUGGCGAGGCCAAGCGGUGGUCCACGGUGGCCGGAGGUGGCCGGAUCGUGGCUGGUGCUGGCCAAGACGGAGCUGAACAGAGGCGGCACGGGAGCUGGACGACGCACGGCGGGGACGGCAAACGCGAAGGGGCGGUGGCGGAGCGCGCGGCGUGCGCGGGUGGUGCGGACGGCGGCCCGGCGGCGUGCGGCGAGCUGCGAGCGAGCGGCGACGGAGCUGCAGCUUCUGGUCUUCCUCCGCUUCUGGUUAGAAGGAGAAGAAGAGCUGGUUCAUUCGCUCGGGCGUGCAGAGGAAGAAAGAGAAGAAAGAGAGAGAGAGAGAGAUAAGCAUUGACUGGUCAAAGAAAAGAGAGGGAAGUGAGCGGUGGGGGAUUUUCGCACGAGGGGGAGGGGAGAGGAGAGAGAAAGAAAAGAGAGAAAAGAAAGAAAAGAAAAGAAAAGAGAGGGAGAGAGAGAAAAAGAAAAAAGAACAAUAAUAUUCUAAAUUUUCUUUUUCUCUUUCCAUUUCCCUUUUCUAAUGCCUUCCGGUCUUCGAUUUUUCCUCCGAUAAUUUCUUUAUUGAAAUUUCGGACCCGUCAAUAAAUUGACGAGCGAUGAGACAGGAUCCUAUUUAUUCAGACAAAUUAAACCCGAAAAUCUGGAUGUCACAACUCUUCCCCUCUUAUAAAAAUUUCGUCCUCGAAAUUUAAACCUUUAUCAAUCCAUAAACGAAAGGUGGGGAUAUUGCCGUCUCAUCGAGUCUCACUUCUCCACGCUGAUCAUUCGGUCUCGUGGCGUUGUUUGACCAUUUUGACCAAGGAGAUCAUCUUGGUACACAAACUCUCCUCUUUCUGAACCAACAACUGAACUGAGCUUCUCACAAGACACUCUGUCAUCCACAUCUGAUCUCUUUUUCUUUACUCCUUAAUAAACCUUUGAACCUCAACGGUUCAAAAUUUCUGACAGCUCUGAGUAGCCUUUAUUCUGACAUUGAUCUGACAACUGCAAAUACUGAUCACUGAGCUGACUCUGGACUUGCGAUUUUCUGAUUUCUGAUCUCGUCUCAACCGAUUGAAAUCCUGUACACUCUGCUUUGCACAGAUUAAAAAGAAACUAUCUGACUGAUCUGCUGAAACUGGGAAUCUCUGGUCAAGAUCUUAUAUAACUCUGGUACUGAUCUUGGCAACUGUAAUCACUGGCUACUGCAAUGACUUUGGCCUGAAAUCUUUAUUCACUUUCUUUUCCCCACUGAAAUUCUGUACCAUCUGCUAUACACUGCUUAAUAAAGAAUCCUCUGAAAACUCUGCCGAACUUAUAAUCUCUGAUUUAGAUUCGAAAUAUAAUUCAUCCUCGACACUCCAUGCCGGCGAAUUAUUUAAUGCACACACACUUNNNNNNNNNNNNNNNNNNNNNNNNNNNNNNNNNNNNNNNNNNNNNNNNNNNNNNNNNNNNNNNNNNNNNNNNNNNNNNNNNNNNNNNNNNNNNNNNNNNNNNNNNNNNNNNNNNNNNNNNNNNNNNNNNNNNNNNNNNNNNNNNNNNNNNNNNNNNNNNNNNNNNNNNNNNCACUCGACACAUUGGCGACCCUCGAUUAUCGUGAAAAUCUUAAAGGUUCAAAUAUGGACACAGGGUACCAAAACGAUAGAAACAUCAAAUUAGUACCGGUCGAUGAGAAUUUUCCAAUUUAGUGGAGUCACCCACGAUCGGUCAUUCAUCUCAGUCGAGCCGAUCUAUUUCUGAUUUCAAAUCGAUUUUAUACUGUGCCGCAAUGAUCUCUAAAGAUGAGCACGGUCGAGGAGUCGAUCCAUGGUCGAAUUCUCAAGUCUAUUUGCCUUAAGGUCCUUAAUAACUCACCCAGCUAGUCUAGUUAUCUCAUGAGUGGCCAACUCAGAGAAAAACACUGUAAUUGCAUCGAGGAAAUGCCCAAUUUAUCUAAUCGAAAUCAGAGGCCGAAAUCUGGAUCGCACACUCAAAACAAGAUAUAUUCAUACUGUACCAAAGUGGACCAACUCCAUCUAUCGAUCAACCACUAUUCUCAAAUGGUAUCAGUAAUCCCCUGAAUCUUUAGUAAGCCUAUCACAAUGUUCCAUUGUGAUAUAUUUCCAUUUUCACUUGGGACUCUCAAGUGAUGGUAAAAUCCUCCCGAUUCGCAUUCCACUUACUGACACUUUUGACGCUUUCAACCUGCUUAGCUGUAUUUAUCUUCAUAUCAGCUUACUAAUCUAGCUCAUGCCGAUUCUGAUUUACUUGCACCAUCUGGACAAAGCUGCAAUAUUAUAGCGAACUUCUGACAAAAUCUUUUCCCUGAGUGCUACACUGUCAAGUGCACUCAAUUUCCUCAUGGAACCCAAACGUUCCAUUCUCAGAAGUUUUAAAGUUAGAUUCUUUCUUGCCAAUAUCCUCUUAUAAGAUCUCCUGAACAUCUCUGUCUGUCAACUAGGUGCCAAUUCUAACUUGAACAUUUGGUUCAAUUUUGAGGGCGGCUAUAAAAUUUAAAAGGUAGCCUACCUCAAAUUUGAAAACCAAAUUUCGAACCCUUUUUAAGUAAAGUUUAUACUUUAGCCAGCCUAUGUAUAAUCAAAGACUCUGGGCUCAACACAUAAAUUACUUCUUUCAUUCUCCCAAGAUAAUACCAGAUAACAUCAUUAUAGUUCUGCCAAAAUUCUGAUUCACGACACUGUUUCAUGUUCAACUUGUUGGGUCUCAACUGGCGGGACGGUUAUACAACAAUCUUCUCAUGUUGUAUCAAUACAUACCCAAUCGUUGGCAAGACACAUCACUAAAGGUUUCAUGCUUUCCAGAGCCAAAUGAAAGUUUAGCAUAAGUGCGGUGGCCUGAUCUUACUGAAGCUCUGGAAACUAUCCUCGUACUUAUCUAUGCCAAUGAAUUUCUCUUCUUUCUCAAGAGGUCAAGCCCAUGAUGAUACUGAUGCUGAAAAUUCUUUCACAAACCUUCCGUAGUAAUCUGUCCAAUCCCCACAACUUCUGAUCUCUGACAUUGAUGUCGGUCUCGGUCCAUUAACAACUGAUUCGAUCUUGGUUGGUUCCAUGAAGAUUCCUUUACCUGUAACCACACGACCAUUCUUAGGGGCAUCUUGUGAUUCUCAACACUUAAUGAACACCCUAUAAUGUCGCUAUACCACACGAUCACCGUUGAUCUAGAUAUUCUUUGAACACUCGAUUUGUCAAAUCUAUGACAGCGGCUGGAGCGUUCGUCAAAUCAGAUGGCUUUACAUUAUUCUCACAAGGACAAAAUCAAGUGCGAAAUGCCAUCUUCAAUAUAACCUCCUUCCUGGUUCUCAACUGACAAUAACCUGUCCUCAAGUCAAUUCUUGAAGACAUCCACACUCUUUAUAACAAGUCGUCUAAUUCGUCGAUCUUUGACAAUGAACACUUAUCUUUGAUUGUCACUUGAUUGGGUCGAUUAUAGUUGAUGCAUAAUUGCAACGAACCAUCUUUCUUUCUCUUUUCACAAAACUGAUGAUCCCUAAAGUGAUGCACUGAUAUGCAUGAAUUCAUCAUUCAUCAAUCCCCACAUCUGAACCAUUAGUUCUAUCAAUUCAAACAACAACCACCGGUAAGGACUUUUAGAGAAUGGUUCUGUUCCAGAUGUUAACUCAAUCGUAAUUCUAUCUUUUUCUCUGGCAACGGUCUGACCACUUUUCUGGCAACACUUCCAAGAAUUCUUGGACUACUGAGGAGUUCUCAAUUUUUAAUUCUUCAAUCUGUCUUAUCUCAGAUCAUUGCUCACUAAUCUCGAUAACUUCUGUCUGACAAUCAGGUUACCUCAAGUGACGAAAUCAAAGAAGUCAAGAACCCUUCUCAAUUCUCAGUAAAACUCGGUACUUCUACAUGCUCCUGGAAUAAGCUGGGUUACUCUACCAUAACAAUUCAUCACCAUAAAAUGCUCAAGAACCAAUUCUUUCUACACUUGACGAAUAAGUUAUACACCAACAGCCAAUCAAGUAUAACUCUAGUCAAUGGUUCUUUUCCUACAGCCUUAACAAACAACUGAAAUUCCACACUUACAAUCCCAACAUUCUCUGGCACUAUUCUGAUAAAAUCACCACAAAAUAUUCUUUCAUUGAAUAAGGCAUAGUCGGUUCCGUUCCUGUUCCUUUUGCCAUAUUGCUGGUGUUCCAAUGGUAGUAAUAGUGUUGGUGUUCUUCUUAAACCCCAACCGAUAGUCCUUCACUUGAUGGCCGUGCUCACUACCAUCAAAGCAUGUUCUAGUCAUUCUCGAACACAGGAUUAAUCCAUGCAUUCCUUCCAUACUUUCGGCACUCAUCAGGUGAGUCUUCUAUCUCCUGCCCAGUGACAGCACACACUCUUUCUGGUUGUCCUAUCGGUCUGUUAGAACCGCUCUCGACUUCGAUCUUUUCCCUGACCGAUUUCCAUUUCUGCCUGAACUGGAUCUGUACCUUGACUUGGAAGCGAUGGCUCGAUCCCAAAUCAUAUCCCCACUCUGGAUCUCAACAGGUGUAGUAACAAAGGCGCUUGCAGUACUAACGGCAGUAGUGAUAGCGACAACGACAACAGCUUGAUCUUGAACUUACUGGCUCAUUCAAUUCCCAAGAAGUACUUGCAUCAGAACGAUCCUAUCGAACUUAGGAUCAUUCGACGCUGCUACACUAGUACCAACCUGCAGUGGUACUCUUACACUUGAGCUGGCCAGAGCCGACACUCUGCCACAACCACCUCGGGUACCGACCUUUGUCAGUGCAUUAUCCCGAGUCACAGAGGACAUUGUCCUCUUACUAGGAGUUCUCAGCUCCUGCUCGCUCAUGGUUCAGUCUUUACACUGAAACCCGACUUCCAAAUCCACACUGGAUUAGAAGGUGAGCGAUCCACACACCACAAACAAUUUUGGCAUUCAGCUAACAUAAACAUGCACCAGCAUGAAUUUAAAGGCCUUUCCUACUAACUAUCCCAUGGUCAACGCUCCUUAUCACUCCAAUCUUCAACUUAGCUCUGAUACCACUUAAACAGGUUGUCACGCCCCGAUCCUCAGGCACGUGCACAUCCUUCUAUUUGGUCGAUUUUAUAAUGCGAUAUCCCAGGACUAGUAUCGCCGACCCUUUCUAUUAUUAAGCACAUGCGGAAGCAAUUAAAAUCCCCAGACAAUAAAACGAUGGGAUAGAAAAGCAGGGCCAUAUUUUUCAUAUUGAAAUUUAUAACCAAACUUUUAUACAAAACAAAAACCACUUCAAAACUAUUCACAUCAAAAAGAGAUCUCAAAAGAAGGUAGACUUUCAGCCCAACCAGGCCAUACUCAAGGCCCCUCUCAGGUUUAUCUUCUUCUUCCAAAAAUCCUUCUCUUUAAGUUUCACCUCCGAAUUCUCCUUCUCAGACUCCUCCUCAUCAGCUCCUCAUCGGGGUCCUGAAAUGUUUUUCCCCAAACUGGGAUGAGACUACGUCUCAGCGAGUUCUACCCCACUAAGCCCGAUUAGUAAACCACUAUACUAUAGGCUGC